AUUGAACGCUGGCGGCAGGCCUAACACAUGCAAGUCGAGCGAGCGGCGGACGGGUGAGUAAUGUAUGGGGACUGCCCGAUAGAGGGGGAUAACUACUGGAAACGGUGGCUAAUACCGCAUACUAUCGGAUAACCCAUAUGGGAGUAGCUAGUAGGGGGGGUAAAGGCUCACCUAGGCGACGAUCUCUAGCUGGUCUGAGAGGAUUAUUAGCCACACUGUGACUUAGACACGGCCCUGACUCCUACGGAGGCAGCAGUUGGUAAUAUUGCACAAUGGGCGCAAGUCUGAUGCAGCCAUGCCGCGUGUAUGAAGAAGGCCUUAGGGUUGUAAAGUACUUUCAGCGGGGAGGCGUUACCCGCAGAAGAAGCACCGGCUAACUCCGUGCCAGCAGCCGCGGUAAUUC
rnacentral:rRNA from 1 species